CUGAAUAGGGCGCAUAAGUAACAGGUCGUAGACCCGAAACCAGGUGAUCUACCCAUGUCCAGGAUGAAGGUAAGGUAAUACUUACUGGAGGUCCGAACCCACGCACGUUGAAAAGUGCGGGGAUGAGGUGUGGGUAGCGGAGAAAUUCCAAUCGAACUUGGAGAUAGCUGGUUCUCUCCGAAAUAGCUUUAGGGCUAGCCUCGAGGUAAAGAGUCAUGGAGGUAGAGCACUGUUUGGACUAGGGGCCCUUCUCGGGUUACCGAAUUCAGAUAAACUCCGAAUGCCAUGUACUUAUACUCGGGAGUCAGACUGCGAGUGAUAAGAUCCGUAGUCGAAAGGGAAACAGCCCAGACCACCAGUUAAGGUCCCCAAAUAUAUGUUAAGUGGAAAAGGAUGUGGGGUUGCUUAGACAACCAGGAUGUUGGCUUAGAAGCAGCCACCAUUGAAAGAGUGCGUAAUAGCUCACUGGUCGAGUGACCCCGCGCCGAAAAUGUACCGGGGCUAAACAUAUUACCGAAACUGUGGAUGAACCUCUUUAGAGGUUCGUGGUAGGAGAGCGUUCUAAGGGCGGUGAAGUCAGACCGGAAGGACUGGUGGAGCGCUUAGAAGUGAGAAUGCCGGUAUGAGUAG
rnacentral:rRNA from 1 species